GAUAAAAAGUGUUCUGCUGCUCAACCGUUUGACUUGGCGCAAGAUGAUACGGAUUGGACAGCCAGACAUGUGGCCAGAGAUUGUCCUGUCAAUGCUGUUGUUGCAUACUUGGAUUUUCAGAAAGUGCCUCAUUGAAUACGUGGAGAAAAUUAGCUCUCAUGGAAUAAGGGAAUAUUGGUAGUUGGUGAAAAAGAGGAAGCAAACAUGCUUGACACCAAGAAUUUUCAGGAGAAGAGAAGAAAAAUUCUCAACAGAUGACCUGAAUGUGCAAAUGGUCAAAAGUCCUUCUUUCCUUUGAAUCUGGUGUGGUCUGUACCAUUUGUGUGUGCCCCACUGUGUCUGUGGCAUUUUUGUGGCUGAAAAAAAGAAUGGCCACAAGUUGGCAUUUGUAACUCGAGAACUGUUAUAUUGGUGUGACUCAACUGGCCUUAGACUCUGUCCUUUUCUUUCCUGCUGAGUCCUGAUGG